rnacentral:rRNA from 1 species
AUUGAACGCUGGCGGCAUGCCUUACACAUGCAAGUCGAACGGUAACAGGUCUUCGGAUGCUGACGAGUGGCGAACGGGUGAGUAAUACAUCGGAACGUGCCCGAGAGUGGGGGAUAACGAGGCGAAAGCUUUGCUAAUACCGCAUACGAUCUCGGGAUGAAAGCAGGGGACCGCAAGGCCUUGCGCUCACGGAGCGGCCGAUGGCAGAUUAGGUAGUUGGUGGGAUAAAAGCUUACCAAGCCGACGAUCUGUAGCUGGUCUGAGAGGACGACCAGCCACACUGGGACUGAGACACGGCCCAGACUCCUCCGGGAGGCAGCAGUGGGGAAUUUUGGACAAUGGGCGCAAGCCUGAUCCAGCCAUGCCGCGUGCAGGAUGAAGGCCUUCGGGUUGUAAACUGCUUUUGUACGGAACGAAAAGGCUCUGGUUAAUACCUGGGGUCCAUGACGGUACCGUAAGAAUAAGCACCGGCUAACUACGUGCCAGCCGCCGCGGUAAUAC